rnacentral:rRNA from 1 species
GCAGUAGCCGCGGUAAUACGUAGGUGGCAAGCGUUGUCCGGAAUUAUUGGGCGUAAAGGGCUCACAGGCGGUUUCUUAAGUCUGAUGUGAAAGCCCCCGGCUCAACCGGGGAGGGUCAUUGGAAACUGGGAAACUUGAGUGCAGAAGAGGAGAGUGGAAUUCCACGUGUAGCGGUGAAAUGCGUAGAGAUGUGGAGGAACACCAGUGGCGAAGGCGACUCUCUGGUCUGUAACUGACGCUGAGGAGCGAAAGCGUGGGGAGCGAACAGGAUUAGAUACCCCCGUAGUCCCUGUCUCUUAUAC